rnacentral:misc_RNA from 1 species
UGAAUAAACCAUUAUUUAACAUUUCCAUCCAAACAUACAUAGUCAAUUUGCACUUCUAAAUGUGUAUAGAUUGCUCUCAAUUUACAAUUUCUGGCACAAUGAAAUGAUCAAACCAGAGAUCAAAGAUCAGAUUUCGUCUCUUGCAAUCCACAAACCAUGUUAGAUGGAACCGCGAUAUCGAUCAUUUUUGGAUAUGACAAGUUCAAAUUUUGCAUGAUAUUCUUGAAUGUUUCCUUAUCUUUUGACAGUCGUGGAUUGUAAAGCAUCUCCUCCCCCACUGUGCUGACGGUGAAUCCCUUGUAGUCAUGAGCAGGAUAUACUAAUGUGUCUUUCGGCAAUGUGAAAAUCUGCGAAUGGACAGAAUCAUAUAAUUUGUCUGAACUUCCACCCUGA